rnacentral:lncRNA from 1 species
GAUCAGUAGGUUUCCUGUUACGAUCAGUAGGUUUCCUGUAAAGAUCAGUAGGUUUCCUGUAAAGAUCAGUAGGUUUCCUGUUACGAUCAGUAGGUUUCCUGUUACGAUCGGUAGGUUUCCUGUUACGAUCAGUAGGUUUCCUGUAAAGAUCAGUGUAUAGAACAUUAUCUAACCACACAAGAUCAGAAGAUCCAGGAAACUGAUUUGACGGGUGUCAGACUGCAUAGUAAAUCAGGUGCUCAGAACAAGAUUUAAAAAACAGCCUAGAAACGCCUGGAGCUGUUUGGCAUCACCCCUCCACAGAACACAAAUAUCAUCAAUAUACCGUCUCCAAAUCAUGAUGUUAGGCAAGAAAACAUUUUUGAGAG